GAACGUAAAAAUGGUCAGAAUCAGAAUCACGAACCCAAAACAAAAAUACACUCUUUCUCGCCCACUACACAACCGACGUCGACGUAUACGUUGCAUCUUGCGUACGCAUUUACUUUUGCCGUUUCAUUGCAUCGUCGCGUCGUCGUUGCACUGCAUUUUGCAUAGAGUUUCGAGUAUUGAACUGAGUAUGCAUUGCAGUGACAGUCGCAGUGUGUAUGUUGUAUGUUGCAUGGAGUUUGAAAUUUUGGUGAUGAACGAGAAAAUAUUCAUUUAGAUUAUAGCAAAGCGCGGCGGUUGCCGAUGCCGUCGCGCCGCUGCCGCAUUACCGCUCUACAAACGCGCAAAUACGAAUACUCUACUACUACACAUUUUUUAGUGUAGUAUACACACACAAAUACUAAUGCAUAUCCAUGCACACUACCAUACACAUCGUUGUUGCAACACAAAAGGAUCCUCUUGGUUGCACACGGUACACGGAGCAGGAGCUGACGGAGCGGAUGUUAUUAUAUGCCUUUGCCAUGCUAUCGCUAUGCAUCAGCGAAUGGCUUGAAUUGCGUGGGGGGGCUUCCCAAAAAUUGUUAUUGUUGUUGUUGGUUGUGGCUUAAAGCAUCUUCAAUUCUUCAUCCUACACUUUUUAAUUGUACAGCGAUAAAAUGAAGGCGAAGGGGUAGGACAGGACAUGGUGUGGUGACUCUGACUGCUGAUGGCGGCCUAAACCAGCAAUUUAUUUUAUUGGUAUGGUAUGGAGUAUGGUGAUGGCGCAUGCCAAACAGAACGUAGUCAUUAAAAUGUUGGAUUUGAUAACAUGGCGGUCCCGAGGUCGGUGGUAAAAAGUGAAGAACGAUAGCCGAAUGUGUGUUUGGGUGAUAGUGAAAAUUGAAAACUUUAAAACGCAAAAUUCAAUGGAACGGCGAAGGAUGGACUUCGUCUAGUGCGAAAAAUAGAACAUUUAGACCUACCGAACCUUCCCAAAAUUCUACAUCAUCGUAGGUAUACAAAUGAUAUAUCUAAAGGAUGGCAAAGGAAUGCAUACUUGUAGUUGUCGAUGACGCCACAAUGAUUGGGAUUGGGAUGUGCCGAAGCCCGAAAGUCCAGCCGGUUGUUGUUCUUAUUUUGUUCAAUGUGUUUUUUUUU